CCUACGGGAGGCAGCAGUGGGGAAUUUUGGACAAUGGGCGCAAGCCUGAUCCAGCAAUGCCGCGUGCAGGAUGAAGGCCUUCGGGUUGUAAACUGCUUUUGUACGGAACGAAACGGUGAGCUCUAAUACAGUUUGCUAAUGACGGUACCGUAAGAAUAAGCACCGGCUAACUACGUGCCAGCAGCCGCGGUAAUACGUAGGGUGCGAGCGUUAAUCGGAAUUACUGGGCGUAAAGCGUGCGCAGGCGGUGAUGUAAGACAGAUGUGAAAUGCCCGGGCUCAACCUGGGACCUGCAUUUGUGACUGCAUCGCUAGAGUACGGUAGAGGGGGAUGGAAUUCCGCGUGUAGCAGUGAAAUGCGUAGAUAUGCGGAGGAACACCGAUGGCGAAGGCAAUCCCCUGGACCUGUACUGACGCUCAUGCACGAAAGCGUGGGGAGCAAACAGGAUUAGAUACCCUGGUAGUCCACGCCCUAAACCGAUGUCAACUGGUUGUUGGGUCUUCACUGACUCAGUAACGAAGCUAACGCGUGAAGUUGACCGCCUGGGGAGUACGGCCGCAGGUUGAAACUCAAAGGAUUAGAGG
rnacentral:rRNA from 1 species